rnacentral:rRNA from 1 species
GACGGGGGAGGCAAGCGUUGUCCGGAAUUAUUGGGCGUAAAGAGCGCGUAGGUGGUAUGUCAAGUCAUUUGUGAAAACUUUAGGCUUAACUUAAAGAUUGCAAGUGAUACUGAUAUACUUGAGCACAGCAGAGGAAAGUGGAAUUCCUGGUGUAGCGGUGAAAUGCGCAGAUAUCAGGAAGAACACCAGUGGCGAAGGCGGCUUUCUGGGCUGUUGCUGACACUGAGGCGCGAAAGCUAGGGGAGCGAACAGG